UAGAAAGGGGAGUGAGAUUCGCGCGUGCCCGGCCAAUAUGACGAGACGAAUAUGAGUGUGAAUCGAACGAAACAAAAUGAACGAGAGAAUUUCAUCCUCAGAUGGACCGUGCAAGGUGGAGAAAGAAAUAAGUGGAAAAAAAGUAUAAGCUCCGACCGCACAUGUAUUUCGGUAAGAAAAUGAAGCAAGAUUAAAGUGCGUGAGCGUCGUUUGAUCGGGAGGAAGAGAGAAAGGAAGAUAAAGACCGGCCAGGUCGACCGUAUGCCGUGCUCACACGGUCUUGGGGUCAGCUCUGAGUGUCGAGGUCGCAAACAUACUCGAUGCGUGACCUUAACCUCUUCGACCUUGACACAUCUCAUCCACGUGAUCUCUCUUGGCAAAUCUGCUGAGCACACAUACCCAAGUUAAACUCCAACCCGGUAAUCUCGAUUUGCAAAGACCUUUCAACUCUAUCAAAGAAUUAUAAGUACCAAUCUUUUCAAUGUUCUUCAACCACCCGAUCUUCCAUGAUAGAGAUCUUCGUGUCCGUAGCGAGUAUGAAGUUCACAGAAGUUUAACAUGGCAAAAAUUGAUUUAAAAGAGUGACAUUCAAAACGUCGACUCCGAAGAAUUAUAGGACUCCGAGCAAGGACGAUGUUGAGUGGAGAACAGAAAUAAGAAAAAAAA